rnacentral:rRNA from 1 species
UACGUAGGGUGCGAGCGUUGUCCGGAAUUAUUGGGCGUAAAGAGCUCGUAGGCGGUGUGUCACGUCGGCCGUGAAAACCUGCAGCUUAACUGUGGGCGUGCGGUCGAUACGGGCAUCACUGGAGUUCGGCAGGGAGACUGGAAUUCCUGGUGUAGCGGUGAAAUGCGCAGAUAUCAGGAGGAACACCGGUGGCGAAGGCGGGUCUCUGGGCAAUGAACUGACGCUGAGGAGCGAAAGCAUGGGGAGCGAACAGG